rnacentral:rRNA from 1 species
GGAUUCAGUGAGUCAUCGAAAUUUUGAACGCAUAUUGCACCUCCGGGUUAUUCCUGGAGGUAUGCCUGUAUCAGUGUCCGUACAUCAAACUUGGUUUUCUUCUUUCCGUGUAGUCGGGGGAGGAUAUGCCAGAUGUGAAGUGUCUUACGGCUGAUUUUCGGAUCGGCUGUGAGUCCUUUGAAAUGUACAGAACUGACUCUCUUUGUUCGAAAAGCGUGGCAUUGCUGGUUGUAAAGGCUGUUCAUGUGACCAGUCGGCGAUCGGUUUGUCUGCUGUGGCGUUAAUGGAGGAGUGUUCGAUUCGCGGUAUGGUUGGCUUCGGCUGAACAGACGCUUAUUGGUCAUUCUUCUUGCUGUGGCGGUAUAACUGAUGAACCGUGGUCGUGUGUGACUUACCUUUUGAAUCGGCGUUGCUGUGCGAAGUAGAGUGACAGUUUCGGCUGUCGAGGGUCGACCCAUUUGGGAAAUUGUGCGGUGCGGCUUCGGUCGCGCGGCAUCUCAAUUGGACCUGAUAUCAGGCAAGAUUACCCGCUGAACUUAAGCAUAUCAAUAAGCGGAGGA